AGUGAACGCUGGCGGUAGGCCUAACACAUGCAAGUCGAACGGCAGCACAGUAAAAGCUUGCUCUUACGGGUGGCGAGUGGCGGACGGGUGAGGAAUACAUCGGAAUCUACUUUUUCGUGGGGGAUAACGUAGGGAAACUUACGCAAAUACCGCAUACGACCUACGGGUGAAAGCAGGGGAUCUUCGGACCUUGCGCGAUUGAAUGAGCCGAUGUCGGAUUAGCUAGUUGGCGGGGUAAAGGCCCACCAAGGCGACGAUCCGUAGCUGGUCUGAGAGGAUGAUCAGCCACACUGGAACUGAGACACGGUCCAGACUCCUACGGGAGGCAGCAGUGGGGAAUAUUGGACAAUGGGCGCAAGCCUGAUCCAGCCAUACCGCGUGGGUGAAGAAGGCCUUCGGGUUGUAAAGCCCUUUUGUUGGGAAAGAAAAGCAGCAGGUUAAUACCCCGCUGUUCUGACGGUACCCAAAGAAUAAGCACCGGCUAACUUCGUG
rnacentral:rRNA from 1 species